GACGAACGCUGGCGGCGUGCCUAAUACAUGCAAGUCGAGCGGAAUCAUGGAGGAGCUUGCUCCGAAAUGGUUUAGCGGCGGACGGGUGAGUAACACGUAGGCAACCUGCCCUUCAGACUGGGAUAACUCACGGAAACGUGUGCUAAUACCGGAUAGACAAGAUCGACACCUGUUGAUCAUGGGAAACGCGGAGCAAUCUGCGGCUGGGGGAUGGGCCUGCGGCGCAUUAGCUAGUUGGUGGGGUAACGGCUCACCAAGGCGACGAUGCGUAGCCGACCUGAGAGGGUGAACGGCCACACUGGGACUGAGACACGGCCCAGACUCCUACGGGAGGCAGCAGUAGGGAAUCUUCCGCAAUGGACGAAAGUCUGACGGAGCAACGCCGCGUGAGUGAUGAAGGUUUUCGGAUCGUAAAGCUCUGUUGCCAGGGAAGAACGCCAGGAAGAGUAACUGCUUUCUGGGUGACGGUACCUGAGAAGAAAGCCCCGGCUAACUACGUGCCAGCAGCCGCCGUAAGAC
rnacentral:rRNA from 1 species